rnacentral:lncRNA from 1 species
AACAGCCUCCCAAGCCCAUCGCUCUCCGCCGGCGGUCCAUCAUACGCGGCUGGGGUAGAGCAUCACACGGACGGCGCCGCCCAGGCUGAUCGGGGGCAGGUUGGAAGAGAACUUGGCCUUCACCACGCCGACGUUGCCGUGCGCACGCAUAACACGGCCCCAAAUGCACCGGAACUUGGUGCCCUGCUUCUCGUUCUUGGCCUUGUAGAUGUAGGCAAUGCGCUUGCCCAGGUACCAAGCCACCUCCUUCUUGGUAGCCACGCCGUCCACCUUCAGCAGCGCGGUGUGGUUCUGCUGGUUGGCCUUGGACCGCUUGUAGCCCAGAAUGUGGCCCUUAACGAAGAGGCGCACGUUCUCGCCGCCCAUUUUGACUUUCCUAGGAGCAAAGAACGGGUGGGAGGGGCACAGGAGAGGGCGAGAACAAGCGGGCGCGCAGCCUAUACCGGCGGCCAUUCCGCAUGCGGCGGCGUACGACGGCGCUUCAAAACGAAUUGUUGGGGCCUAAGAAAAAAUACAGAGACCUUGUCAUGGCCACAUCAUAUCGUAUAGUAUUGGUGGAAGCCUGCAGCAGCAGUCUCGAGCGAGAUUUCCCGCUGCUCACACGCGGCGCCCAGGAAUCGCCAGCUCACGCAUUCUAUGAAUAACAAUGCCUUUGUAGAACCCUUGAUACCAAGGAAGGAACACAGUGCUUGACAGAACAGGCGAAAGGCCUGCUCGCGCCAUCCUGCUCGCUGAGCGCGGACGCACCUGGUGCGGCAAAGCCAAUAGUGAUGUAUCCUAGAGGGGCAGCGCUGGGAAAGCUUGGAUGUUGGCCCUCGCCCCAAACGGAGUCAAGGAGGCAUGUGCCGGAGGGCAUGCGGGGUCCUGCCGGAUGCUUACGCCUCCUUAGAGCGGCAUUAUGCGUGGGACUUGGUGCGGGGGUGGGCUGCUUGGUUGGCCUUCGUGCAUUCUUCGUGGCCAGGAAGGGGCUGCGGAAACAGGGACGGGGGUUGGAGACUUGGGCGGGCGUUUGGGGCAGGGUGGGGGGGUCGGACGGCCGGCAGGCCCCGCUUUUCGUCAGACAGCGUAUGCCAGCAAGGGGAGGGUCCCCGCUGUGCGGCAGGUUGCAGACAAGCUGGGUUUGAAAUGCAAUAGGGCGCACGAGCGAUGGUCCCAGCUACGGCUGUAGGGCUGUGCGGCUAGCUGCGGCGCCAGGCAACAGCUUUGGACGGGGGGGGCGCGGAGGAUGGGCAGGUCAGGCGCGGGCUUCGUAAUGCAUGGCGACUUUGCCAAGACGGGUGUUUCAGCUACGCAUUGGGGGGGAGAGGAGCAGCCCAGAUUCAAGCGCCAAAUUCCGUUACGAGCCGCUUAGCGUGCCCAGGACCUUACAUACCGUAGUGAAGGGAAUGGCGGCCCUUACAACGUGCGGCGGGAAUGUCCUCGUAACUAGUGUCUGUCUGAGCACAGCCGGCACAGCAAAGUUGGGCUGCCGUACUGUUUCGUAUCCACAUCUGUACCGCUGUACGAAGCAGGUGAAGCAGUCAAUCCAACCCAUGCCCUGCUCCCGGGCAACGUGGGGGCACUGGGGCGAAAACAUGCUUGUGUGUGUGAUGGGACAGGGUUCAGGCAGGUUGGCGAGGUCCCAUAGGGUGCAGCUGACGCCCAUUGGUGAUACCGUAUCCUGGCCGCUGGCAUGUAGUACUGACAAAGGUCUCCGGCGACCCGCAGCAUCCGACUAUCCCAGCGUGGGCCCAUGCUGCGUGUGCACCCUCGUGAUGGAACAUGGCAAGGGGCAGGAAAGCGUAGUCCCGAUGUGUGUGGCUCCCACCCGUGCCCACAUAAAUGCGUAGCAAGAAGGGACAAGGCAUUGGUGCGUCGUUCGCGCGCUGUUACUGUACCGACGGUAGCUGGCAGGUUGUGUCGAUGUUUUGCUGACGCGCAUUCCUCACGCUCCGGGCACCCGGCCAAGGCGAUAGCACCACACAGACUCAAUGCGACGCCACACCGCGCGGAUAGCAUAGCCGAUGCGCACCUGCAGGCAGUCGACCGGCGUCCACGGAUGCUGCGUGUGCACCCGCUGCGACAGUCGUGCGGCUGGCCUGCCUGUCUGUUACAGGUGUAGGUCCACCUCUGACCCGGGCUUGUGACCCACACCACGACGCCAGCCGUAGCCUACCACCAGUGACCAUUCUUCUACUCCUGUCACCGGCACCCUCCCCCAUUGUGCGUGCCGAAACGAGGGCAGCGCCAGCAUAGGGACACGCAGGGGAAGCCCUGGGAACACGCUCUGCCGCGCUUGCAACACUUCCUGAGCUCCAGCGUACAGCAAGGCUUCUCACGGCGCGUCAGUCCCACACUCAGCAAGUCCGCAUUGAGUGAUUGAAUACCCAGCCGUUGGCCGCUGCAAGCCGGGCUAGCGCUGCGGCUGUCCGGCAUGUUCAGAUGUUUUGCCACCACAGCAUACGAAUGCAGGCCGUGUGCGCACCACCGCCACGCACCAAUUGUAGUGCAGGCCUCGCCUCGCCAAACCGGCUACACCUCCACGACCUCCCCCGGUUUGCCUCAACCGUCACCUCUGCCACCAUACGGUCGGUAGUUCUCCCAGACGCCUGUUGCGCUUGGUACCCGCCGUCGUGCCGUGUUAAGCCCCUGCCCCGGAAUACGUGUUGAUUGACGGCAUGUAAGCGUUUGCCUGCCUGCGCACCUCUCUCGGUUAACACCGGUUCACUUUUGAACACCGUCUCAGCUUGUAUGUUCGGCCGAACAUCACUGGGCCGUAAUCUUGCCAAACCGACUGAGACUGUAUGAAUGCCAGUGCGCAGCACACCUGCCAAGUAAUUGCCAGUCCUCAGUAAAAUUUGUAGGAAAGUAGCAACACGGCAACGAUCGCACAAGCAAACAAUGCCACAACCUCCCGUCUCUAGACCGACACGCACGCACCAUGCCUGGCGAAGUGCUGCCUGCCAUGCUCACCUCGCGCCACGCACUCUGCAGUUGCCACACGACGUCAUCCCUUGACCACCAGACUGCCAUACAGUAUAUUCUCUCCUAUAAUCCCAGAAGUGCAGCUCCCAUUACCUUGCAUUAUCUUAAGCCAAUUUUACCUUCAUCGCGCAUUAUCAAAUGUCGAGGGCGCUUCACGUACGCCACAACCUCACACUGCGGGCUCAACACAGGUGUACGCAUCAUCAAACUUUACAGGCGCUCAAACUUCAGCAGCGCCCACACUACACGAGCAAUCAAACUAAACAUCCCAAAAAUUGCAGUUGCGAAUUCAAUGUGCACAUGAAAGAGUAUCCUGUAUAACCCCGGAAGUGUGAUGCUGUGGAAGUGCAUGGCUGGCCUGUGCCGCGCAAUGCACACCAGUUCUUGUGCCAAAACAAUUAUUGCCGUGCUAGUAUCACGGCCGCUGUUGGCCGUUACAAGGAAGGAGUCAAGUUGAGAUACUACGAUUGCGAAAGGAAAGCCUCCUGGAAUGUGGUACUCCACAACAAAGCCUCCCCAAAGUGUCCUGGCACUAUCUUGCGGUUGGUUGAGCUGCUGCCCAUGCGGAGGUCGAAGAGGGCGGCGGGAUCCCAGGCGCCCACAGCCUCCGCCUUGGGCCCGGCUGCCCCCGCGCUGGCCCCGUGCCGGUCGACGCUACACAUGGCCGCAGCAAGCGCCAUGGCUGUAGCAUUGGUGCUGCUGGCGUUGGAGCUGGAGACCCAGCUGCUACUGCCGCAACUGCCAUCGCCGGGCAGAGCGGGCCCGGUCCUGUUGGAUCCAGGGCCGGCGGUGCUGCCUCGGCCGGAGUUGCCACGCCCGUACAUGAACGCGAGCGGCGACUUGGGCGUGGGCGUGCCGCCGUUGCUGCCCAUGGCGGCAUGGCCUGUAACCACGCCGCCGCUGCUCCCAAUGUCCGUGUGCCCAGGCGGCACGUUCCCCGAAGCCGAGAGCCCACCAGUGACGCCGCCGUUGCUGCCGCCGCUGGCGCGCAGGCACGCCGCCGCUCUCAGCCUGUCCACCAGUGCUCCGAAGCCCCGGUCGCUGGCGGUGCGCAGUGCCAGGCUGCUCAUGUCCCAGGGGUCGGCGCCGCUCUCCAGCAGAAGACCCACCACACCCUCGUGGCCCUGGAGGGGGAAGGAGCAGAAGCAAGAGGCGGCUGGUAAGGGGGCUGGUAAAGAGGAUUGGGAGGGAAGCAAGCGCGGGCAGGUAGAGCGGCAAGGCCGGGCGGGCGUAACCUCAGCACGGCUGUGCAGCGGGAGCCAUGGGCUCGGCGCUGCCUUGUGUGUGCCUUCCGCACCAGCCCCCCGACCUCCUCACCUGCACACUGGCUGCCACCAGCGCCGAGCUGUUGCACGCCGCCGGGUCCGCGCCCGCCCUCAGCAGCAGCCGCACCACCCGCUCGUAGCCCCGGGCAGCCGCCGCCUCCAGGCUCGCGCGCCCGUGCGCCCGCGCGUCCGCGCCCGUCGCCAGGAGCAGCGCCACCAUCUCCACAAUGUCCGCCUCCGUGUACACUUUGCCUUGCUGCUGCUGCUGCUGCUGCUGCUGCUGCGCUUGCGAUGGGUUGAAGUGGUCGGGCCAGUAAGACGACGAGGGCACCUGAGGCGCAGCUGCGGGCGCUUGGUUCAAGCUCUCUGCAAAGGGCGAAACGCAGUCGCUCGUGUUGCCGGAGAGAAACCGGGGAACGGGGCUGUCGCAGCUUCCAUGCGCCCAGGACCUUGAAGGCGGACAUUGCUCCGCAGCAGACGGCCUGGUUGGCGAGGUGGGUGCGGCCGUGUACGCCGAAGAGCGGGUGGCGGAGGUGGCGACAGCCAGCGGGGUGGCCGCCGCAGCCCCGGCAGCAAUGGCCGGGCCUGCAACCGCCGUCACCACCGCCGCCACGGCCGCUGCAGGCAGCUCGCAGGCGUGCAGCAGCGCGGCGCUGCAUCGGGCGCGGGCGUCUGCGCCGUAUUGCAGCAGCACCCUCGCGGCGGCGGUGUGGCCGCCACACACGGCGGCACGCAGCGCGGCGCCGCCGUCCGCGGUGGGGUCAGCGCCGGCCGCACACAGCCGGUACACAACCUGGUGUAGCACGAAGCACGGUGCGUAACGGGGGCCAGCGCGGUUAUGCAAGUUGCAGUUCAGAUAAUGCCGGCGCAUCAGACGAGCCUGCCCAGAAUGGCGUGCGCGCAGCGUGUGUUGCGUGGCCAGUACGCCAGCACCUAUCAGGCGCCCUCCCUCACCUCCGGGUUUCCGCCCUGCGCAGCCGCCUCCAGUGCGGCGUGGUUGUAUGCCGCUGCCGGCGCCCCGGCGCGCAGCAGGGACGCCACGGCUCUUGCGCGGCCGUUCUGCGCCGCGGCUGUCAGCGCGCGAGAGAGCGCAAAGGUGCUGGGCCUGUGGCGCGAGGCGCCCCAGAUCCGCGCAUGGGGCCUCUGCAGCAGUAGCUGCUGCUCCAGGGCGGAGGAUGGAUUCAGGCCCACCAGCAGCUCUAACAGAUGCACGUGGUCCGCCUUCGCCGCCUGGGACAGCAGCAGAGCUUCGUGCAGCUCGACCUGGCAGGGGGAUAAGGUCAGGGGGCCCAGGUGGGUGUCGGAACGGGUGGCGUGUCUCUUGACGAGCGCGGGCCUUCGAAGCUUGUCGUCUACCCACCUCUGCCCCGCGAGCUGCGAGCUCCUUUAGCAAAGAGCACAACGUUGCGUCGUACGUGGCGGGAGAGCGCGCGCCAAGCAGAGCUUGCUGGAUGCCAGGGGCAAAAAGGUGCCGAGCCGCAGAAGCCGUUCCAAAUCGUUCCACGAGGAAGGUUGCUGCAAGUUGCACGUUGCCCAGAGCUUGGGAGAAGGCAGCGGCGAGCGCUGAGCAACAUACCGCAGCUGACACGCCUCCCAUCCCAGCUGUCGCAAGAAUGGACUGAAGCAACUCAUUUGGCAGGCCCAGAAGGCCAGUCGAGGGACUCGGGCCACCUUGCGGCCUCCCAGCCUCAUCCAUGACGCCUUGCGGCCUCGUCGAGAGGGGGCCCCCCGGUUUCGUAGGCUAGCUAACAGUUAGCAAUGAAAUGAACUUCCCACAUUGAAGCUGGGCUGCGCUGGUUGGGCUACGCAAAACAAUGGAGCUCGUCCCUGAAUGAAGAGUCGAAAGAGCAAAGCUGUGAGCUUGAGAUGUAUUACAUACGAAAGUUUUGUCAUGAUUUUAACAGGCAGAGGACUGGAGUUCCAUUGGGCUGGAGUUAAAAGCUGACUCCCCGUGCGGAUCCGUGCGAUCAUGUGGCGCCUGCAAGCUGACUCCCUCCCGCAGGCUCCCGCGUGCGGAUCCACCAUGCCCACGUCCGCCAUAGCCGGAUCCGAUACAGCCUGCCAUGCAGCCAAAGCCAACAAUUCGUCGAGUCCAGCUAGCCUCACAUCAUCGAGAGCUGCUGGCGACAGCCAACUCCUGGCCACCUUUCUUGUUGUGAUGUUGUCACCGCCUCUGCACACAUUUCCGCCCACACAGCCUCCCCAACGUCAGCGACGUGGGCAGCCAAGCAGCGCUACAAAUGGUCAUGGCACUGAUUGUCUGGCAACAAACACCACAACACUCAAAUCAUCACAGCCCUGGAACCAAAUCUCUUACCGGCUCAACGCAGUCCUCAGACGCGCCCGCAUGCUGCCGCUCCAGCAUGCUCGCACCCAGCGCAGCUCGCCACCCCCCGCCCGCCAUUCCCCCACUACCUGCCCGUCACGCCCGCGGCACCUGCGCCUGCGCCUAGGCCGCCGCUCCGCCCACCACCACCACCGCCACCUCUACCGCCACCCAUCCCCAUCCCCACCCCCACCCCCGCGACCAUGCCGCUCCCCACCUCAAACUCCAGCCCCAUGCCUGGCAGCACGUGCGUGCGCCACAGGGCGCCAUCCAGAGCCGCCCGCAGGUAUACCUCCUGUGCGGCCUCGCUGCCGCCCAGCGCGCGCCACUCGUGCCCCGGCACUGACAGCACGCGCCAGCCGCGCACCUCCAGGCAGCGCCGCUUCGCCAGCGUGCGCCCCAGCGGCCUGCGGGCAGAUGGGGGCAUCAGGAGUACGUAAAUGCAAGGACGUCAGUGUGGAGGGGGUUGUAGAUACCAGCCCAAACUAAACCAAACCAAAUGCAAGAGAGCGAGGAGGAGAGCGUGGUCGAUGCAGUAGUCGCGGGGGGUUGUUGUUGUCAGCAUUCCCAUAAGGUGAACGACUUGGGGUGCAGCCGGCCGCGGGUACACGGUAGAUUGGUGGCACACGAGGAUGCGUGGUGGUGAUACCAGCGGGGGAGGCGGGGUAGUAGAGCGCAUGCCGGACAACGCGCAGGGAGACAGGUUAUAUGACGCGCUUCCUCUCGCUGCUCCCUCUUCCCAUCCCCCCACACGCGCUCUCCCCCAUCACCUGUAGGGCUUGGACAGGGUGAAGUGGGAGGGGCCAUCCACCUCCACCGCCACACGCCUGGGGCGCAAUCAACGGGCAGGGGCGGCCAAGGUGGUGUAAAGGGGGCAGUGUGGUGCCAUGUGCUCAUUACCACGGUGCUGCCGUGUACUGCUGCUGCUACCGUCGGUGAGCUGUGCAUGGCUCGCCACUCCUCUGGCGCGGCACCCAUAUGCCGCAUGCAAACAUUGGCUCCCCCAGACUUCCUUGUAAAGCCCAUUGCUCCGCACGCCGCCUUCUUCCCAAUGCACGCAAUCGCCAUGGCACACUGACACCUCACACGCAGCACGCAACUGCAACUACGCGAAACGCAGACGACACAAAACGCAGACGACACAAAACGCAGGCGCAAAACGCAGGCGCAAAUUGCAACGCGACGGAGCACAACGCCCGGCUCCACGCACCUGCCGGCCCAGAGCAGGGAGGUGUCUAUGGAGAACAGGCCGUCCAAGGUGAUGCGCUCGCAGGAGGGGCUGCAGCCCAGCCGCCGCAGCGCCGCCACCACCUCCUCCUGCACGACACCGGCCGCCGCCAUGAGCGUGAGCAUCACCACCGCAUACAGCCUACGUCAAUGGCCGUGCCGCUUGCGAUUAUAUCGUUGGUAAUAUUCGCAGCAACACUGCGCGCGAACAAUUCCGCGAUGCGGCGCCGUCUUCCGUCCUGCCAGCCAGCCCGCCAGCGAGCCACAGGCAGCCCCCUGCCCGGUCCACAACAACCCACCCGCCCUCGCGUGCACCACCCCACUCCCUGCCCUCCGCUGAUGAUCGCACCCCCCUACCGUCUAGCAUUUUCUUAUCUAAUCGUGAAUGUAACCCCACCUGCAGCCGCGACGGCGAGGCGGCCGAUGCGGUGACGCGGCGCCACGUCAGCCUCGCGUACUGCGGGGCCGGCAGCAGCACCAGACGGCGGCGGAGGUUGCAAGGUCAGAAGAGCAAGUCAAGCAAAAGAUACAGAGCUGAGGUGAAGUGUAUCAAGCCAAUCAAACACGGGCGAUGGCUUGUUUGCAGGGUGAGAUCCACCGUGUGCUCUGCACCAAAUGAGACAAGGAACGCCAUGGGCUCGGCCUUCCAUCACUCACUUCCAGCUGCGGCGGCGUGAGAAGCUGCGGCGGCUCAAUCGCGCCAUCGUACAGAUCCUGAUGGGGAUAUUGGAAAUAGAGAUACGGUAUUGGCAUGAGUCGCAUGACAUAGCAACAUAAUUAGGAGGUCCUCCGAGGCCGCUACACGGCUACCCGUUCCCGAAGAGACAUGACAACCGGAGCAGUUGUCGGAGCUACUUGUGACUGGCGCUCACCUGCAGCAUCACAUGCGUCUGGAACAGCUGCAUGACGGCUGCUCGGGGGAGGAGCAGGGCAGGGGCAGGAGCAGGAGCAGGAGGCGGCAGUGUGAGGGACAAGGUUAGAGAAUGGACAUAGGGUGGGAGGCAGCAAAACAUGCGAGACAGGGUCGGUGUUACGCGGCAGGGUGAGCCCCCCCCCUCGCUGUUCCCAUACUUUGGCGUUUACAACUGGUACGGGGGAAGUACGGCCCAUGUCAGCAGUUCAUUCUGCCGCGGAUCCGUAUCCAUGGCUGAGCACCUCCCGCAAUACCUUCAUCGCCCGCUAUCCCCUCUCCCGUCUACACGCCCCCUCUCAGUACCUGGCACCGCCAUGCGCUCCAGCCGCAACCCCGCCAGCGCCGCCGCCGCCGCCGCCAGCAGCGCCUCAUCCACGUGGCUCAGCAGCGCCGAGCUCCACAGCACCGCCACCAGCGCCCGAGCCGACAGCGGCUGUAGCUGUGGCGGUGGCGGCGGGAUCGCGGCAGCGCCCCUGCCGGCGGCCAACGACAGCGGGCGAGUGCGAUGCACGUUACCCGUGCCCGUCGCCUCCCCUGCCACCGUCGCCGUCGCCUCCCCUGCCGCCGUCGCCGUCGCUACCGCGGUCGCAGACGCAGACGCCGAUGCCGCCGUCAACGCCGACGCGGCAGCGGUCGCGGCCGCCUGUGCUCCGGGCCCGCUGCCGCCGCCGCUGCCGCUGCCGCCGCUGCCGCUGCCUCGGGCCCGCAGCAGCCGGGCAGCCAGCUCUCGGCCCAGCUCCCUCCACAGCUGGGGGUGGUAGGCGUGCAGCUGGGCGGCGGCGGAGGCGGCGGCGGCCAGGUCCUCGCCGCUGCAGGCGGACAGCUGCGGCCUGUGGGAGGGAUGGUUGCGAGGGAGGAAUGCAUGUGAGGGGGUUGUGAGGGAUGCAUGCGAGGGGUUGUGCUUUGUGCGGGAUUGUUGUGCGUUGUGAGGGACUGAAAGGGCGUAUGAGGUGGUGUGCGGGUGUGUAUGGGUUGUGCGGGGGUUAAGGGGAAAGGACUCCUUGACGAGUCGAAAUCAACCGAGCCCAGCAGGGCGUGAGGCGGCCGUGUGGCGCGGGUUUGUGCCGUGACGCUGACUAGGUGGGCCAUGCGUGCCGCCCACCCGGCAGAUGCCCACGCGCCGACCCACCCGGUCCGCCACCCACAACCGCCCACCCUCACCUCAGGUACUCGGCCGCCUCGGUCAACAGACCUGGGUGGUGGUGCCGCGCACGCGCCAGGCUCCACACCAGCCGGCUCGCCAGCCGCGGCCCGAAGGAGUGCAGCCGCGGCGGCCCCGCCGCCGCCGGCCCAGCAAUCACAGUCACAAUUGUGGCACCAGCUGCUGCUGCUGCUGCUGCUGUUGCGGCCCCUGCACCGGCGCCUGUGGUCCCUGCGGCGCCGCCUGCAACAUCUGCAGCAUCUGCCGCCGUGCCGCCGGUACCGGUACCGUUAUUGGUAGCGGCAGUUGGUGUACCGGCGGUUGGCGGCGGCGGUUGGGGUGCCAGUACGGCGGCGCACACGGCGUCGUACAUGUCCUGGUUGUAGUAGUUGGACACGGCCAGGCAGUACACCAGGUCCGUGAGGGCCUGUGAGGGGGGACAUGUGUGUGUGGGGGGUUAUACGCAAUAGGUUUACGCAGUGAAGUCGUAGCCAGGUACAAAGGUAUACAGUAGUCGUGGGGGCGGGAGAACAGAGAGGGUUACAAGCAGCCGCAUCCACAGCUGCAUGCGGUGUGGUGCUGUGGGCCGCACACAUCCUUAACUGAUGCUGCUGUGCUGCCCCACCGCCACACUGCUGCCGCUGCUGCUGCUCUGCCCCAGUGCCCCACCGCCGCCACCCCGUCUCACCUGCGGCUGCAUGCUGCCUGCGGCCGUCAGCAGCCGCGCCCGCACCUUCGCCACCAGCGCCGGCGAGUAGCGCCGCGACCGCACGUGCGCGCGCAGCAGCAUGCACAGGUCCUGACGUGGUGGGUUGGGGGGAGAGGCGACGUCGUUGCAUGAGAACACACACACACACACACACAUGUAGUGAUGAACACACAUUUGAUGCCCGUGACAACGAUGGUGUUAACCACAUGGGCACAGUUUAAGCGCCACCAGUGCCGCCACAUCAAUGGACAAGCAAGGUACGGUACUUACAGCCGCUCCAUUGGCACACCAUGAAUGCAAGGCUUGGACUACCUGUUGACUGUCAACCCCAGUCCAUAUCCUUCCUUCUGCGACAAUCCACUCCCCUCCCCACCCCCCCACCCCCCACCCCACACACGCACCUGGUCGCCGUACCCCGCAAACGCGCCUCCCGGCGCCGCCGCCGCCGCCGCCACCGCCGCAUCCAGCAGCUCGCCGCACCGCACGUUGCCGGGCUGCGCUACACACGCCACCGCCCAGCACAGAGCCGACGUGGCGUGCGGGUCGUGCUGCGGCCUCGGCGCCGCCGCCGCCCCCGCCGCCGCCCCCGCCGCCGCCGCCGCCGCCGCACCCGCUCCUGCCUCCGCCCCGAGCCCUGUUCCAUUGGGCAUAGUAGCAGUAGAACCAACCGCGCCAGCGGCAUCCCCUUCGGCCUCUGCUGCAGUCACUGCCGCCCAGUCCUGUGCCUCCGCCGCCGCCGCCGCCGCCGCCUCCGCCGCCGCCGCUUCCGCCCUCAGCAUCUGGGUGCCGCGCACGCAGGCGGCGCCGAUGAACCGCCGCACCUCCCGCACGCAUUCCACACUGCCGCCGCCGCCCUCACCACCACCUGCACCACCGCCCCCUUCCCCACCCGGCGCCGCCGCUGCCCCUGCCCCUACUCCCGCUCCUGCUACAGCCCCUGCUGCUGCUGCUACAGCCGCCACGCGGUGCUGGCCCGCCGCCACCAGUGCCCGGGCGGCGUUGGCGAGGUGCUGCAGGCUCAUGUGCUCCAGGCAGAGUCCGGCGGCGGCCAUGCGCGCCAGAGCCCGAUACAGCCCGUCACACAGGGGGCCGUCGUCGGCAUUGCCGCCGUCAUCUACCUCCGCUUCUUCGCCGUCGCCACCGUUGCCAUUGUUACCGUUGUGGCUGCCAUUGCCGUUGCCGCUGCUGUCGCCGGCUGCAGCCACAGCUGCGUGUGCGGCGGCGGCGCCGCCGCCCCUGUAGAAGCCCAGUCCGCUGAAUGCGCCCAGCAGAUUGGACAGCCCCACCGGCUCAAACCUGCAGCCCGCGGUGCCCCAGACACAACACACACACACACACACACACACACACACACACACACACACAUGUGAUUACACACGUAAACAAACAUGUAAACACGAGUUCCCUGUCGUGUGUUUUUACGCAUGUGAAGGCACAUGAACUGGCCAACGCAAGAAUUUGCAAACUACCACAAGAUGGCGGCGGUGCGCCAGCCCGCGGCCGCCGCUGCCGCUGCCGCCGCAUCUGCAAAGCUGGAGCCCCACCAAGCAUACGGCCAGUGGCUAACAACCCGGCGACAGGGGCCUCCCGCCCGCGCCCCCGCCCGCCCGCCCAAGCACCCACCGAGUCCUGUGCCCGGCCACGAUGCACUCCGCCGCCGCCCGCAGCAGCGGCACGUGGCGGCGGUCCAGCGCGUGGUAGGCCCACAGCACGUUGCACAGCGCCUGGCGGGCCGAACCCGAUGUGUGUUUAUUUGCGGUGGGGAGUGGCAGCGAUGUGACAGCACGUGGCGUGGCAAUAAUACGCGCCGGCACCCGCUGUUAGCACCAGCACCUUAACGGCUCGAGGCACCAACUGGACUCGACAUUACCCAUUGACGCCCUUUUUAACAAACACCAGCCCAUUUGCAUUAUCGCCCUCUCACAAACACACGUGACAGCUCGCACCUGUGGCGGCAUGUUGAGGUCCGCUAUGGCGUCCGCCGCCACACGCCCCGCCGCCCACCACCACCGGUCCUGCAGCUGCUGCUCCCAGCCGGACGUCGCCUGUGCGCCACCAUUGCCGCUGUUGCCUUUAACGCUGCUACUGCCGGUGCUUGCACUGCCGCUGCUGCCGCUGCUACUGCUGCUACUGCUGCUACUGCUGCUACUGCUGCUACUGCUCCGUGCCCCCACGCCCAUCUUGGCCAGCGCCCACACCAGCUUUGACAGGUCCUUGGGCGGCAUCGACGCAAGCCGCAUCAGACGGUGGGAUUCGGCGCAGCCCACGCCAGCAGAAGCAGCCGAAGAAGCAGCAGCAGAAGCAGCUGCCGGGGCUGGGGGUCCGGCAGGGGCUUCUGAUGCUACUGCUGGUGCUGGUGCAGAGGCCGCAGUAGCGGCUAGGCUGUGUUGGGAAUCGGGCGGGCCGGGCUGGGGCUGGGCGGGGGCGAGCAGCUCUCGCUGCACGGCUUUGGCGAACUGGCGGGCCACCUCCGCGGACUGCGUGUCGUGGUCAGCCCCACCCCACCUCCCCCCACCACCCUUACUGCUACUGCCACUGCUGCUGCCACUAUUACUACCGCUGCUACUGCUACUGCUACUGCCGGCCUCCACGCCGAAUACCUGCGCCAGCGCCCAGCAGCAGUGCCCCGCGUCCUGCGGCGACAGCGCCCGCACGUGCGGCAGUAGCGACGCAGCCAGGGCGGCGGCAGUAGCAGGCGUGCCGGCUGGCCAUGCCCGCCGUGGCGUGCCUUUGCAGUGAUACCCCAGCUCCCCGAGCUGAGCCACCCGCGUCCCCAGGGCUUGGCCGUUGCUGGCCGGCGCUUCGGCAGGCGCCGCCCUGGCAGCAGCGGCGACAGGAGCAUAGCUGCGUGCCGCUGCGCGGGAUUGAUGUCCCAAGAUUGUUGCGUGGACUGUUCGAGCCGCUUUGGGCUCCGUUACAGGGGCAUGCGCGGGGUGGGAGCCUUGCCGCGCAUCGCCCGCGACGGCGAGGGGCGUCGCUGCGCGGCGCGGAGGUGCGAACGGCCCGGCGCGCGAGGGGCCAGCUGGCGCUGCCCGCGCCAGUCCUGAGCUGCAACGCCUCCGCACACAAAUAGCCGAGCGCAGUCGCUCCACCUCGCUGAGGAGCUGCGCUGACAACCAAACCGCAGAAUCCAUUUUGGGGGCGACUGUGCAGCCCGCUACGCCAUUAUGGGGUUGCAAUACAUGCAAGAUUUGUUUUGUGUCGUGCUUCGAUGCUGUAAACAAGCUCCAUUUCUGGGGGAGAGUUGAAAUGUUCAGAAAUGGGGGCUUCAUUGCGCUGCCUUUUUGCGCCAUGCUAGCUGAAUCCACGCUGCUUGUUCGUACGUGUUCCAUUCGCGCGUAAUAGUUAGCCAUAUCAGCACGAAGUGCACUUGCACAGAGCCAUCAACCCAGUUUCGGAAAGCUCUCCAGAGCCGACGCGCCAGGACUGACUUACGUGUUGAGCAGACACACAAUACACAUAGAUCAUUAGGCCCAUAGGCAUCGGGCAUAGCGCGCAAGCCUUUCGCGUCCAUCACGCAGACGUCCUAGCGGGAAACACAGUACCAAAAUGUUUCGGGCGCGUGCGUCAGGCUUCUUCGUUGGCUUUGGCGUGGCUGGGGUACUUGCGGCGUACCAGUUGCGGCAGGACAUCCUGAAGUCGCACGAGGUGCUUGUCAUCCAGGUGCGUGUGCUACGGCGCUGCAGUGGCCCAGUGGCAUGAGUCUCCAGUGAGCAUUCGGCAGGGCGUAAAGGGGGAAUAGCGUGGACACGUAUGAGGAACGGCAGGACGUAGAGCUCUACGUUGGUAGGGUUGGGGCAGGCACGCCAGGGGUGGCGGGACCGUACUGGGGUGGCGCGUGCUGACUCCCGCCACGCGGGCGUCGUGCCCCUUGCCGUGCAUGCGUCUGUGUUGGCAACACAUGGCGUAAGGGGAGCGGAACCGCCAGUUACAUGUCGGCAAGACUUAGUUAGGUGCCAGCGCUAGCGCUUGGGGCUGGCCUCGUGAGCCGGCGCCGUGCGGACAUCACUAGCGGCAGCGGGUCGGGCCAGGGUCGUGUUCGCUGGCGUGUGACAUGCAUGCUUGGGAUGGCCACGCCUGCUGGGGCAGAGUAGCGUGUCCCUAUCCCAAAGAAACCAUGACCCAGCACCGGCCCAAACCUGGGGCUGCUCGGGUCGGGUGCCGGUGGCGUCACACCCACAUGAUGGGACCUGUUCGAUGGGCUCGGGCAUCCGGCUGUCCGGUUCCAUUCCUAGUCGCUGACCAAACUGCUGUCCGGUUCUAUUCCUUACCUUGUUAAACUCCACCCCGCCCCCACGCGCAUAGGCUGACGAGUACAAGGGCAAGCUGGAGAAGCGUGUGGCCGUCCUGGAAUCGUCCGUGUCGGGCCUUAGGGCGGAGGUGGCGGAAGCCAAGAAGGCGGCGGCGGCCGCCACGGCGGCGGCGACAGCGGCCGUGACGGCGACGGCGGCGUCACCGGCGGCGCCCGCCGACUCCGCAAAGCCCGCGGAGUAAGGAUGCUAGCGAUGUUCAUUGGGAGGCGCUACUUUAGUGGGAGGCGCUACUUUAGCUUAAUGCUGGUGCUGGAGUGCCGGGCUAUGGCUCGGCGAUUGGAAUUGGCAGGACGACGUGGCGGACUAGGAGGAGAGGCGUGGUCGCUGGGAUGUGUUGAGGAACGAAACCGGAGCGUCGCUGGUGUGUUUGGGCGGGGAGGGGAGAAAUAGGUAGCGCGCGGCAGCUGUCAGGUGGGCAGGGGUUUGCGUGUGAUAUGGGAGCCGUGGGCUUGAGCUGAGCUGCAUUAGAGUUUUGGAGCUGGUGACGAGGCAGCGUGGGCUUUCGGCUGGAUGGCUUAAGCGGGUGUCGGAGAGCACGCGGACAGACAGCUUAUGCGAAUAGGCUUGAUGCUUGCCCGCUGGGCGUUGUAGUUAUGUACAGGGGCUUGACAAAUGGAAGUCGGGUGCAUGCGGGGAGGGAGCCAUUGCUGCCUCAGGCCGCCUGUCGGUGUGCGAGAGGUGCCUGGGGUCCUGCGGAUCUGUUGGAAAGCUGUGCCACAAUGCUGCCACACUGCUACAGAAGCACAGGGCCGCGAUGCACCGAGGUGGGCACGCAUUCGUGUGUAAUGGCCGGGAGAGCGAACAGUGCUGUAUUGCGACUCUCAUGACAGCCAGGAUGCACACGCACACGGUGGCUCGUGUUUCUGGCCCGGCGGGUUACAGUCCUGACGACGGCCCUUCAGCUGCUGACACGUCGGAGCCCUUCGGCUCCUUAGGCCCCAGGUAGUUUAACCUGUGGCACACAGCGAGUAGCGUGUGAGCACGUGAGGCGAGCGGUACCAAAGGGGCAGCAACUCAUCAGUCGACACCGCAUGCACCACGCUACGCACGCAAACUGUGCUGGCGAUAUUGCCAAAACACUGUCACGAAACUGUGCCGAACCGCCAAAAGGCUGUCAUACCCCAGAGCUCAUGCCAUCCUCAUGGAGUCAUGGCAUGGCUCCUCCAGGUCCCCUCGCACGAGGCCCUCCCCCGCCCCCAACACACACACACACACACACACGCCCCCCCCCGCGAGGUCCCCCCCCAAAAGCCGGCACCCGCCUGGAGUAGAGCAGGCGGUUGGGCGUGCCGGGCCGCAUGCGGGGGUCCUGCAGGGCGCCCAGCGUGGCGCCGCGUGUCAGCGCAGCAGCCACCUCCCGGGGACUGGCGUCAGGGUGCGACUGGGUGGGGCGGGGGGCGUACAGGUAAGGAGAAGUCAGAACACGGACACACAUGCAUGCACGCACACGCAAGCGCGCGCGCACACACACACACACGCACACACGCGACGCUCGGUAAAAUGGUGGGUAUCGGUAAGUAACUCCGCGUCAUUGGGCGGGCUUUCGCUUCGUUCUUUAGCACACGAUAUACACACGCGCAUUCACGCACACAUGUAUACACACAUACAGACACACCUCUAGGUACAGUGCCGCGGCCCCCGCCACCGCGGGUACGGCCAUGGAGGUGCCGGAGGCCCAGGUGUAGGCGGAGGCCGUCACGGCGGGGCAGCGGUCUGGAAGGAGAGAGGGAGAGUGAUGAGCAUCCAACCGCCGAGCUUGAACAUGAAGCACGGCGGCCCGAGCCGGUGCAAGUCAGGCGAGCUACCGCGAUAGGAAGCAGUGUAUGGCACAGAAGCAAUAAUGUGGCUGGGGGGGGGAAGGGUAGGGCUGCCGGCGGCGCGGGCGCACCCAGUAUGCACGCGCGCGCCGCAAUGCUCCGCCUGGCGCUUACCCUUGCCGCCGCAGGCUCCAAAUAUCUCCACGCCCGGCGCGAAGAGGUCAACGCACUUGCCCGUGUUUGACCAGCUGUACAUGGGCUCACGCGGUGGCGGCUGUAGCGGCGGCAGCGGCCUGGGGCUCGCCAGUGGCGGCUGUAGCGGCGGCGGGCGGCGGGCGCUGGUGUUGAACUUGCCCUCCAGGUUGGAUGCAGCCACUGUGAUGACCUGUGGGGCGGGGCAUGGGUAUGAGGAUGAGUUAGUGUUAGUCGUUGGGUCUGGUCACAGUCAACUUGCAUCAGGCCCGCCCACGACUUAGAGGGCGAGGGCUUAUAUAUCAUAGACCUGGAUGUGCACCGGCCAGAGCGACACACACCCAUUCCGCCAGCAAGGGCCACUCCUGUGCGGCAUGCGCCUGCCUAACCAGUGCCUUAACGAUGCCCAACCACCUGUUAUCGGCGAUAAUUCUGACAAUAACAACACAAGACCGAGAAAGCAAGCGAGUACAACGUUAGAGAGGCCUGGCCCCCACCUCGGGCAGGUUGGCGGGUGUGAUGCCGCAGCUGUCCACCGCCGCGUUGCCGGACGCCGCCACCACCGGCACGCCGUGCUGUGACACCAGCACCGACACCGCCUCGCCCAGCACCCGAGACCAGUCGCCUGCAGGAGGCGGGGGCGCGGGUAGAUGGGGGCGCGGGCGCACGCGCAGCGAGUGCAGCCAGGAUUUGAAGCUGAGAGACCGAGAGUUGCUGAGAGCUCCAGUAGCAUGAGCUGGGAGCGUGUGCAGGAGGGCAGAGGGCAGAGGGCAGAGGGCAGAGGGCAGAGAGCAGAGGGCAGGCAGGCGCUGCUGCUGCGUGCACUGCGCCGCACCGGCGCUGCACCGGUAGUGCUGCUGCAGCAGUACACACACACACACACACACACCACCACCACCACCACCACCACCACUUCCUUGACUAGUCAUGAAUGUAGCCCCCCCACACACACACGCACGCACACGCACCUGCCGGCACCCCCAGGGACAGCAUUGCCACGGCGGGUCGCUUCACAUGCUUGGCCAGCCAGUCCAGGCCUGUGGGGUAGGGGGUGUGGGGGGAGGCAAACCGCAGAGAGCGGGGCAGGGGUGGGGCAAGGAGGCACAGGAAAGACGGGCGGGAGCCAGGCGGGAUGCCUUGGUGGGGCAAGACAAACAGCAGAGCAGCCGCAUUGCAGACGUCUAACACCGGCAAAUGACAGCAGACACAGUCUCCCCCAGAUUGCAACACAGCCUCUGCGCACCGCCUGCCCGUACACAUACACACACAGGCCCCCCCAGCACCCUCCCCUGCCGGCCCUCCAUCCCCCCUAGCCCCUGCCGCACCCGCCACGGUGUCCGCGAUGCUGCCGCUGCCGCUGCAGUCCAGCACCCGCACCGCCACCAGCUCCGCCCCACGCGCCACACCCACGCUGCGGCCCACAGCGGUGGAUGCCACGUGCGUGCCGUGCCCGUCGCAGUCCGCGGCCUCGGCGUCACCAUCCACAAAGUCGUGGCUGCACCGGGGCCGCAGGGUUUGUCAAUCGCCGUAUGUUGCCAGGCUAGUGGACAGGGGCCGUACGUACCAUGGAUGAAGAAAAACCUACACAGCCCUCAUGCUGGCUCUGCACCCUGCAGCCUAAUGCAGCACCAGGGCACAGACGUCCCUGACCGAAUCAUCGAGGCCGCACCCGUAGCUGGCGCGCCCUGCUGUGGCGGCACCGCUGCCAGCUGCGGGUGCUGUCCCCCAGCUCUGGAACUCGUCGUGCUGUGCGAACACGCCGCUGUCCAGCGCGUAGAUGGUCACGCCGGCGCCUGCGUGUGCAUUGCGUGCGUUGCGUGCAUUGGCGUGCGUAUAGGCGGGCCCAGCAGCAAGCGGCGCCAGCGGGGCGGGACGGGGCGGGAACGGUCCGUCCGGUGCGUGUUUGGAAGCACAAGGAAGGUCACCAGAUGCGGGCACCGUGUGUUCGGAAUCUGUGUGUCGGGCACUCGGCAAAGAGCACGUGAACAGUUAGCACGCACGAGUCGCGCAAAGGCCCCGGGGCUCGGUGCAUACCGGACGGGAGCUAGCAUCACGCACUGUGCAACUGUGCACAUUUCCAUGCCCGAAUCGUUCCCUGCUGGUUUCCUGUAUGGCUCGCAAAAGCCUCGAACCUAUUUGUUGCCAUUUCCUACGAUUCCAUCCCGAGCCAUUGCAUGGUGGUGGCCCGCACGGCACACCUGUGCCCGGCCCAAAGCCGUACAUGCCAUCCAGCGGCGGCGCGCGCUGGUCAAUGCGGUCCAGGUGCCACAGCGCCACAUCCACUGGCACCUCCCGCAGCAGCGGCGGCGCCGGCCGACCACCCCCACCGGCUGUGGCACCGGCUGCAGCAGCGGCUGUAGCAGCGGGCCCCGGCGGCUGCAUGGCGGCGGCGUCGGCGGCGGCGUAGCGGCGGAGGUCCACGGCGGCGGCGUCGGGCGGCUCCGCGGCGGCGGCGGCGCGGCCGCCGGCUGCGGAGCAGGGCGGCGCGGGGCGGGGUGGGGCGAGGCGGGGCGGGGUGGGGUGGAUUUUGGGCGGGGAGGUAGGGAAGGUGACGGCGGGCGUGCAGGGAUUGGGUUCAGCACGCGUUCGCUGUGCUUGCGAGCCCCGGGGUGGGUCGACACACACGGGGAGGUGCGGCACACGGGGCAUACACGUGAACUCACACUGCGCCGGCGGCUCCACCGCAGCCACCUGCCACACGCCCUCCGCCGUGGCGGCCGCACCUGCCGGCCCGGCAGCCCCCACUGCGGCUGCCGCCGGCCCUCCACCCCCUGCUGCAUCACCGCCACCGCCACCACUGCCGCCGCCAACGCUGCUGCUGCUCUGCUCCAUGGUCAGAAUGUGCGCAAGCGGCAGCAGCGGUGACGUGCUGUGCAGCAGUGGCGCGCCGGCGGCUGGCGCCCUGACCGCCCCGCCAAGCAGGCCCUGCAGCACGUCACCCCCGCCCUGACCCCCACCCCCGCCCUCGCCAUCUCCGCCGCUCCCGCUGCCGGUGCCGGUGCCGGUGCCGUGCGGCGUUGUCGCCAUUGCGGCUGUGGCGGCGGCUGUGGCGGCGGCUGUGGCGGCGGCUGUGGCGGCUGCAGCAGUCGCGCGCAGGGCCCGCUGCGCCUCCUCCGCCAGCUGCCACAGCAGCCCAGAUGAGCGCGCGUGCUCCGGCACAGAAUCCGGCCGCCCUGGGGAGGUAUUCGAUAUACCGCACAUGUUGUUCUACGCUCUGUACCUUAUGUGUCACAGGCCCGCAGGCAAUGGGUGCGGGCUGCCAGCCUGCCAUGCCUGUCUGUAGCCCACACCACGACACACACCACCUGACCCCGCCCUGCCCGACUCACCGUCCACUGGGAACCGCUUCUGCUGUGUUGACGUGAGCCGCCGCCGCCGCCGCCGCAACCGCCACUCCUGCUCGUCCCCUUGCUCCACAGGCGGCGGCUGCCCGGCAUCCACUUCCACGUCGGUAUCCCCGCCCGCUGCCGACGCCGCCCCCACUCCCCAGCUGCCAUUGCUGCUACUGCUGGCGCCUAGCAGGGUCCGCCGCUGUCGCAACCGGGACGCUGCAGCGGGGUCAGGUCCCUCGGCCUUGAACACCUGUGCACACCGUGUGUUAAAGUUCACACCAUGAGUGUGUGUGUGUUGUGUGUGCGUGUGAAAAACAACAACGAAACGAAGCCAUACGUGCGUGUGCGUUUGGUGUGUGUGUAUGUGUGGUGCGGGGCCGGAGGGUUAUGCAUGCAGCAGAGCCACAGGUGCCGAGCGCAACUGUGAGAUGUACGCACGAAGUAGCCACGCAAGGCCGCAACCAUAUGCUUGUACGGUAUACCGUAUCGGUCAGAUUCCCAAUGCCUCACCCACCCGCCCGUCUCGCUCCAGCCGCAGCAGCCCGCCGCCCAGCCGCCGCCGCAGGCAGUCCAGCUCCUGGCGUGAGAAGGAGCCAGCCACGCCUGAGGAAGAGGGGCACACGUACGGCACCACGAGCGCGGGGCAGGCCGCAGGACCGCUAGGAGGCCAAACAUGAAAUGUCUAGGUUAACAGUACGGUAGUGAGGGCGUGGAUAUUGUCACAACAACCGCAGCCCAUGUGCCCCACUGCCGAAUGCUCGCGUGUGUGUCCUACCCUUGUACAAUCAGAAUAAAAGCGGAGAUACGGAUGUAUGGCCAGGUCAACGAGGCUCACCGCGUAUUAACGUGGUGUAGAAGUGCCGGCACGUGCCGCCAGUACCGCCACCGCCGCCGCCGCCAUGUUGUCGCCCGGGGCCUAACCCGCACGUGUCGUCGUUGCCUGCUGCCGUAGCGGCUACCUCCGCGUGUCCAAUGCCACUGCCGCUGCCGUCGCCGCCGCCCCCGCCGCCGCACAGUCGCCGUAGGAGCAACAGCUCUUCCUGGCCCUGGCGAGCAUGACGAGUUGAGGGUUAAGCCGGGUUUAGGCCACACCUGAGUGGACAUGACUGGCAUCAGCCACGAGUGCUGUUCUCCAUGUUUUAACCCCCUGUCCGCAGCUAUUCCCAGCUAUGCCCAACCCAUGCAUGCAACCUUAAGACACGCACACGCACACGCACACACACACGCACACGCACACGCACACGCACACGCACACGCACACGCAUCCGCACCUUGACCAGGAGGAUGUAUGACUCCCGCGCCUCGUUGCCUGGUGGUGAGACCAGCUGUAGUGGCGCCAGCGCCCCGCACCCCUGCCCGCUGCCUGUGCCUGUGCCCGGGGCUGUGCUGCCUCCCGUCAAGCCCCCUGAGCUUGCUGCUGCUGCGGCGGCAUGUUGGGCUGAUGCCGCCCUCGCCGCCAGCGACAAUUGCAGCAGCCGCGCCAGCGACAGCAGCAGCAGCGGCAGCAAGCUUGACCCCGCGGCCGCGGCCCGGCGGAGCAGCAUGUGCAGUCAAAAAUUUUGGUUGUAGAAAUUGCUCGUGUGUAAGGGUUACAAGGCUUUGGUGAGUCAGCAGGCAAAGGCAGGGGAGGGAGGUCGGCUCUGUCGGCGAGCCACUGCACGGGUGACAGGAGUUGUGCGUGAGCAAGCUUGACAGCCCCAACUAACCCCGACUGCGAACGGCUCCAUCUCCUAAGUAUACUUCUGCGCUAUUUCCAGGGUUUCAGCAUUCACCUGCUUCUUCCUAUGGUAAUACAAAGGUUCGCUUGCCGUGCGCGUGUCGACAUGUCACGUGUUGAUGGCAGCGAUGUGCCACAAGCCCGCAAACGUGUCGACCUGUCCAGCUUUUAGCAGCAUUAGCACCUCUGUCCGGAGCAUUUUGCCGGCUCCUGCAGGCAAGUGGGGAGCAGAAAGGGCGGAGCACAUGAAGGGCUGUUGUCUGUCCGGCGGUGGGCAGGGGACGGAAUGUGAGCGGUCGGGGACCGGCACGCGACGGCCCAUUCCGCGAUGGGUGUGGCUUGGCCCUAAGCGUUGUGCAGCGCCCCUUGACUUUACUUUUCGGCACCUCUGUGCUGUAGGUCACGUACUUGCUGCUUAUUUCUGGCCGCCGCCGACAACCUCGCAGGCCGCCAAACAGCCCUGACACAGAGGCGGUCGUCUCACAACUCGCACAACCAGGCCACAUCGCUUUGCUAUAACCUUGAGUAGGAACCUCUCUUUAAUACACACGCCCCUGAGGGGCUUUUGGUGCUUCCGUUAAGGAGCAGACGCGCAGCCAUGCCCAACGCAGUGAACCUUAAGACCAUCCAGGUCGUCCCUGGCGCCAAGGACUUUAUUGAUAUCGUCCUUUCAAAGACCCAGCGCGGCACGCCCACCGUUGUGCACAAUGGCUGGGCGAUUCAGCGCAUCCGCCAGUUCUACAUGCGUAAAGUCAAGUUUACGCAGCAGAACUGGAACGAGAAGCUCUCUGCAAUUCUGGAUGAGUUCCCGAAGGUGGAGGAUAUCCACCCCUUCUACGCCGACCUGCUGAACGUGCUCUAUGACAAGGACCACUACAAGCUGGCGUUGGGCCAGCUCAACACGGCGCGCAACCUCGUCGACCGUGUGGCGCAGGGUGAGGCAGGGCGCUUUGCAGGGUGGGGUGGCGAAAGGUCGGCGCCCUGAUGUCAACGACACCAGCGCGCCGUCGCCGGCCUCGCGCUCUCGCUGAGCCGAGAUAGCCCAGCGACGCCUGGCGUCUCAUGUAUGCGGGCUUAUGCAAGUAGUUUUCGCGCGUCCUAGGGCUUGACCAGAGGCGGACGACUUGCAACACUGCACCGCGCGGUUCAGGAGCGUUGUGCCGCGAGGGCGCCGACCCCGCACCUGACUGCCUGCUUGCCGGCCGGCCGAGAGACAUUACCAAUGGCUAAGGCUCUAACGCGCGCAUGUGACAUAGGGACCGGAACACCCUACGGCGGGCCAUAAGCAUAGGCGGCGGCGCGGCGCUGUCAUUCGGGCGGGCAGGCGCAUGCAACAUCCCUCCGCCACCUUGUCCCAGCCUCUCGGCCUGCGCAACACCCACCCACGCCCCACGCCCCCGCAUCGGCCCCACGCCUCCGCACACGCUUCCCCACCUGCGCCUAUGUCCGCUCACGCCCCUCCUCUUGUUGCGACCUGGUGCUGCGCCCGCCUCACCUGACCCACUCCAACUCUCCUCCCCCCCAACUCGCCUCUCCUCCUCCCCUCCUCCCCUCCUUCCCUCCUUCCCUCCUCCCCUCCUUCCCUCCUCCCCUCCAACUCCAACUCGCCUCCCCUCCUCCCCUCCUUCCCUCCACCUCCCCUCCCCUCCCUCCCCUCCAGACUACAUCCGCCUGCUCAAGUACGGCGACUCGCUGUACCGCUGCAAGGAGCUCAAGCGCGCGGCGCUGGUGGGUGCGGGGGCAAGGAGUGGGGCGGGGGGGUUGGAGGGAGAAGGGUGUGAGCAGGAGCUGGGAGGAGGAGGAGUUUGCCGGCGGCGGAGAGCGGGGCGGCCCGGGUGGCGGGUGGAGAGGGGACAUUCUGUGCCGACUGCGGGUGGGGAAAGCCCAGGGCUCCUUCAAUCAGUCACCACUAUCAUUUGGUUGCCAGCCGCUCACCUCUUUUCUGCUCAUGUUGUUGUUGUUGCUUCUGCUUCUGCUGCUGUUGUGGUCCUGGUUCGCAGGGCCGCAUGUGCACGCUCAUGAAGCGCCAGGGGCCCUCGCUGGCCUACCUGGAGCAGGUGCGCGUGUGUGUAUGUGUGAAUGGGGGGCGGGGGGAAGCACACGGAGAGAUAGCGCCACCACCGAAGACGCGUGUGUUUUGUGUCGUCUUUUGCCCUACCGCCCCUCGUUUACCCCUCUCUCCUCCUCACCCCCUUUCCUCCUGCCCCGCUCCUGCUCUCCUCUCCUCCUGUCCACAGGUCCGCCAGCACAUGAGCCGCCUUCCCUCCAUUGACCCCAACACGCGCACGCUGCUGCUGUGCGGCUACCCCAACGUGGGCAAGAGCAGCAUGAUGAACAAGCUGACGCGCGCCGACGUGGAGGUGCAGCCCUACGCCUUCACCACCAAGUCCCUGUGAGCUUGCGCGUGUGGGGGCUGCAUGUGACGCUGUGUGUGCGGCGCCCAGGGCGCGGAUCGUAUAUAUGUGUGUAUAUGAGAGUGUGUGUGUGUGUGUGUGUGUGUGUUUAAGCAGCAUCAGGAGAGAGUUCCGCCGCGUACAUGGGGCGCGAGUGCGGGUAGGCAGCCGCCCUAGCUGCCUUUCGUAUCUCGCUCCCCUCACCCCGCUCCUCACCCCUCCCCUCCUCCCCUCCCCUCUCCCCCUGCCUGCACACAGCUACGUGGGCCACAUGGACUACAAGUACCUGCGCUGGCAGGUGGGCUGGGCGGUGACUCGGGGCUGGGCUGGGCUGGGCUGGGCUGGGCUGGGCUGGGCUGGGCUGGGCUGGGCUGGGCUGGGCUGGGCUGGGCUGGGCUGGGCUGGGCUGGGCUGGGCUGGGCUGGGCUGGGCUGGGCUGGGCUGGGCUGGGGGCGCUGGGGGGGGAUUGGCUGGGCUAGGGGGCGGUGUGGACUGUGGGCUGGGGGGUGGACUGGAGUGGUGGGUGGGGUGACUGGAGGUCUGGCACGGGGCCGCAUCCAGGGCUGGCUGGGCGGCGCUGCUUGGCGGGACCCGAGGCACGGCUGCGGGGGACGGCCCAGUGCGCUACCCUCUCAUGCUGCCCACCAGACUCCCGUCACCUCGCCUCACCUACCUCACAUCCCUCACCUCCUCCCGCUCCUCCUCCUUCCCCCUCGCCUCACAGGUGAUUGACACGCCCGGUAUCCUGGACCGGCCGCUGGAGGAGCGCAACACCAUUGAGAUGCAGUCCAUCACCGCGCUGGCGCACCUGCGGGCGGCGGUGCUGUACCUGGUGGACAUCAGCGAGCAGUGCGGCUACAGCAUCACGCAGCAGGUGGGGGGAAGGAGGGUUAGGGGGGAGGGGAGCAGUGCGGCUACAGCAUCACGCAGCAGGUGGGGGGAAGGAGGGUUAGGGGGGGAGGGGAGCAGUGCGGCUACAGCAUCACGCAGCAGGUGGGGGGGAAGGGGGAGGAGGGGGGUUGCAAGGUCAGGACACGGGCGUGGGACACGGGGCAGGAGGGGGCAUGGGGAGCAGUGCGGCUACAGCAACACGCAGCAGGUGGGGGUUUAUAUCCAGGGUUAGUUGAAGAAGGGGUAGACCGUAGGGCCGGGGAGAUAGGUGCUGACGUCCAUCGGGCGGGAGGGAGAGUGAGAGGGAGGGGGAGGGGGAGGGGGAGGGGGAGGGGGAGGGGGAGGGGGAGGGGGAGGCGGAGGCGGAGCAGUGCGGGUACAACAUGUGGUUCGCGGGGGCGGAGGAGGGGGGGGCAGCAGUAAGGUCCUUAUCAAACGUUCAGAGAGACGAGGAUGCAGGACAAGAGGGGGAUGAUGGGGAGGGAGGUAUGGGGGAGGGCUCAUCAGGUGCUCCAAUGCUCUUGCACAUGCAACCCCUGACCACAGUACGGGCUGGUAUUCACGACCACCCCCUGCAGCCGUCAGUGCAUCCUGUACCGCUUCUCCAACAUCUUUAUAACCCCUCUACAAUAAUGAUGAAUGUUACCCCUUCCCCCCAGGCGGCUCUGUUCCACUCCAUCAAGCCGCUGUUCUCCAACAAGCCGGUGCUCAUCGUGGUCAACAAGAUUGACAGCCGCCGCAUGGAGGUGAGCGGGGGGGGGCAGGGAGGCAGGGAGGACUAGAGGGGUGCGGGGCGCGAGGGGGGCGGGAGUCAUUCGCAUGCGGAUGGGGAGUGAGGGUGCGGAUAGCUACCCGAGUCCAGUUUGAGCAAAACAAAGGCUGAAGGAUGAGGUGUGUUGCGGCCACCCCUGCAGCAGACACGUGUAUCGACCCGCCGGCGCCACACCACCCCCCACUGUCCCCCUUCCUCCUCUCCUUGCGCGCCCCCCACCCUCAACGCUGCUCCUCCCCACCCCACCUCACAGGACCUGAGUGACGCAGACCGGGAGCUGGUGGACGGCAUGGUGGACGAGGCCAAGAAGAUCUCCAGGUGAGAGGGGCUGGGCACGUGGGGCACGGGGUUGUGGGGGUUGUAAUACCAGCCCAGCCAAAAGCAAACUAGCAGGUGCUUGGGUUGGGAGGAGGGCCGACGGAUGGGUGUGCCGUUGUUUGCUGCACCAUUUAUGUACGGCAGGGCGGGCUUUGCGGCACGGUGGAACAACGCGUGUGCGCCUCGUUGUGCAACCGGGCCAGCCAGCACACGCACCCUUACCCCCCCUACCUGGCUACGACUUCACUUCGUAAACUUAAUGCAUGUAGCUCCCCCUCCCAUGCCUCGCCCCCUCUUUGCAGCGGCGGCGCCGCCGCGGCCCUGGGCGGCGACAGCGAGGAGACUGUGCUGAUGGCCAUGAGCACCCUGAGCGAGGAGGGCGUCAUGUCCGUGAAGCAGACCGCCUGCGACCGACUGCUCAACUUCCGGGUGGAGAUGAAGGUGAGGGGGGAAUGGACGAGGGGGAGGCAUGGGAGAGGGGGAAGAGGAGGCGGGAGAGGAGAAGGCGGGUAGGCCCGAGCCCAACCGAAUAGGUUCCAAAAGGGGGAGGCAGGGAGAGCGGAGGGCGGAGCGGUGGUGAGUGGGCGAUGGCCGAGGCCAACGAAUAUGGGGGGGGAAGGGGGAGGGUGGCGGGGUGACGGGGGUGGUGCGGUAGAAGGGUGGGGUAAGAUGGGGCGGUUGCAGCUCGAGGUGACGGCUACGAGGACAUCAUUACCCCAACAACCAACACCCCAAACAUAACACAAACACAAACACGAACACAGGUGGCGGGCAAGCGUAUCGCGGACGUGCUCAACAAGAUUCACGUGGCGCAGCCCAAGCCGCGGGCGGGUGUGGCGGCGGGCUCGCGGCCGCCCGUGAUCCCGGCGGGGGUGGCGGAGGCGCGCGCGCGGCGGGCGGCGGGCGAGCGCAAGAAGACGGAGCGGGACAUGCAGGAGGAGAACGGCGGCGCGGGUGGGUGGAGACUGGGGGGCGGAGGGAGGGCGGUCGGGGAGGGAGGCAGGGGGUAAAGCGUGAGGGAGGGGUACGCGGGAAAAGGAGGUCCAUGCGCGAAACCCGCACGCAAGAAACUCAAAUGCCGGAUGUGUUCCUGAAUCUCGCCGUCCCCCCUCUCACCCCCCGUGUCUCCCCGCUCAGGCGUGUACAACGCCGACCUGCGCAAGCACUACGACCUGCAGGACCCCGAGUGGAAGUACGACAUCAUGCCCGAGGUGCGUGUGUGUGUGUGUGUGUGUGUGUGUGUGUGUGUGUGUGUGUGUGUGUUAAAAACAAAUGAAAGCCCGCCGGUGUGUGUGUGUGUGUGUGUGUGUGUGUGUGUGUUGGAGGGGGAGUGGGAGUGGGUGGGGAGUUGCAAGGAUUGGUACAGAGAAGUGUAGCGAAGCAGACAGCAGGCGUGGGUGGGUGGAGGCAGGGAGCGAGGGCGAGGGAGGAGCCGCAGAUGGUUGUGCUGCACAGCUCCUGCAGGCUGCAGACGGGGCUUUCAACCCGCAAACACAUACCACUCACGUUACCUAUCUUACCGUGUAUCCUCGUUGACGUCAUGCCUUUGUGACUAUUACCAAUGACGAAUGCGACCACACACACACACACAUACACACAGAUCAUGGACGGCCACAACAUCCUGGACUUUGUGGACCCGGACAUCGACGCCAAGCUGGCAGAGCUGGAGCGCGAGGAGGUGAGCGAGGCGGCAUGGUGGCGUGGUGGGGUGGUGGGUUGGUUGUGGUGGGGUGGUGAUGGCGGCGGCGGCGGCGGCGGGGGUUGGCGGCGGCGGAUGCGGCUAUGGGGACGAAGGGUUUUGCAGCAGUAGGGGGGGGCGAGAGGUGAGGCGGGAGGGGGCUGUGGGUAUGAUGUGGGUUGGGUUUCUGGGGAUAGUGAGGGAGGCAGGCCUGGGGUGCAUGGGACCCGCCCCGCACGUCCCGGCCCCGCACGUGCCAAGGCCGCCUGUGACCUGGAACACUUUCCUGAGUCCCUCCAAUCCCUGCCCCCCAACAAACACACAUCUUGAUUUAUGUGAAUGCUAUCGUAUGAACCUAACCAAACACGAAUGUAACCCCCUUUCCCAACCCCUCAGGCCGAGCUGGAGGCCGCGUUUGCGGAGGAGGCUGACGCCGGCGGCGGCGGCAUGGACUCUGAGGACGAGGCGGCAGGCGACCUGACGGAGGAGCAGGCGGCGGACCUGGCGGCCAUCCGCGCGCGCAAGCGGGUGCUGGUGGGCGAGCACAGGUCCAAGAAGAACAGCCACCGCAACCAGGUGGGCAGGAGGGACGGGGGGGUUGUAAAUACCAGCCCAAACUAAAGCAAAACCAACGAAAACGAGCGGAGCACAAGCAGAGGCGUUAGGGUGGUAGGGGGUUGAGUCGGAAUCAAUCCUGUAAGGAAGCAGUCGCGCUGCAAGGAGAAGCUGUCAGCUGCAUGUGCAAGCUACUGGUGACCAGGGGUAUUUGCACAGGUGGUUGGGGCAGCGGCACAGGAUGCACUGAAGACUGCGGACGAAGUCGUUGCCGGAUGAGGGGGGAGGCGGAUAGGAAGGAGGGGGGAGGGCGGGGGGUGGGGAAGGGAAGGGAGCAGGCGGGAAAGGGGGGAGCUGCGGGCAGACGGGGGGGGGGGCUUGAGGGCCGAGGGUUGUGGACGCGUCAUCAGCAAAGCGUCUGUGCAGCACUGCGCAGCACCUCAACAACAUUCUAGCCAGCAACAUGCCUGUAACCAUCCCCUCUCUCCCGCACCUCCCAUUGCCUUGACUUAUCAUGAAUGUAACCCCCCGCACCACCCCUGCACCCGCCCGCACCCCUCAGGCCGUGCUGCCGGCCAAGCUGGCCAACGCGCGCGGCCGCACCGCUGAAGCCAUGAAGUCCAGCCUGGGCAGCCUGGGCAUCGACGCCUCCAAGGCCGCCGAGCGGGCGCGCAGCCAGAGCCGCGGCCGCAAGCGCGAGCGCAGCGCCAGCAAGGCGCGCGGCGGCGAGGACGGAGACGCGGACAUGGGCGACGCCGGCGAAAAGAAGCGGGUGCACAGCAGCAAGUCACGGUGAGGAAGGCGGGGCGGGGGGGAAGGGAGGGGCGCAGGCGGUGGUGUGUGGCUGGGCGAGGAAGGAAGAGUGGGGGUUGGGGCGCGAAUGCGAUGGUGGAAUGGUGAUGAGCCUAGCAGUGGUGCACCCAACGCCUUCUUAACAUGAAAUGUAAUCCCUGCUCCACCCGCCUUUCCCCCCACGCAGGUCCAUGUCUCGCGGCCGCAGCCUGUCCAUGGCCGAGCCGCGCCCCGGCAGCGGGCUCAAGGACGUGGUGCAGCGCAACAAGGGCAUCAAGAUGGCCGACAAGGCGCAGUGGCGCAUGAACAAGAUGGCCAAGGUGGGGGGCGGGAGGGGGCUGGGUGGCGUGGGGGGCAGCAGAUUACGGGGGGGGGCUGUAGUGGCGGAGGUUACGGGGCUCAGUAGCAUCCAUGCUUCACAUUGCCAAUCAAAAAGGAUGGAGGAUGGAUGGUUUGGGAGCUUGUAGAUGGUGGCAGGUCCGAAAAGAUUGUGCUAACAGGCUAUCGCCGUUCGGCUCGCCCCUUUCGUGCUUGCCUUCAGAUCGGAGAGUCCGAUCGCGCCAUUCCCACCAAGAUGCCCAAGCACUUGUUCAGCGGGAAAAAGCCCGGCCACUCCACCCGGAACCGCCGGUAAUCGUGCCGCGCGUCUCCCGCAGCCUGUGUUGCGAUUGGCCGCAGUGGCGGCUGCGGCUACGGCAGCAUCGGUUGGGGGCCUCGUAUGGUGUGAUGGCGUGUUGGAGGUGUCGCGUGUGUGUGUGUUUUGGUGUUACUGUGUGCCUCGAUGCGUGUGUUUGCUGGUGUAUGUGUUCGUCGACAAGCGUCGGUGCUGCUCUGCGUUGCGAGCGGCUUUCCGUGUAUCAGUAGUACAGCAGCAGCUGAAAUAGCAAACAAGAUUGGCGACUGAUGAAUGGAGCUCAAGGAUCAAGGAGGGUUUCUAAUUGUUUGUAGCCAGGAAGGCGCGGGGCGGAGUUUCCGGGGCUGUUUGUUGUGCGGCCGCAGGAGCGACUGGGGAGCAAGGGGGAACGCAGGGUAAGAGGCGCAGGUUCCGAACUGGGUUACGACGAUGCAGUGACACGACUGUGCCACAACCUGGGCUUCAGGAGUUCUGAGGCACAUCGUGUGCGAUGGCGAUGCGGGCGUGCGGCUGAGCGUGAGAGCGGCGAGUGCCGCGGUGACUGGUGACCAUGGGGUCGCCGUAAUUGACUGACUGCGCCGGCGGCUGGUCCGGCUGCCGGCCUAGGGCAAUGGAGGACAUGGCGAUUGGACCUUGAGUUAAGCAGCAGCCUUGAUGGCGUGAUCUGUAAUCCCACACAGGGACACACACUCCUACCCAGCCAACGUGAGCUCGUGCGUAUUGCAGCCCGGCCCUAUCGGCUGCGCCGCUGCGGUCACCCCACCAGGCUCGAGAGAGGUCUGCCAGCUACCGUCGGUACAGUAACAGCGCGCGAACGACGCACCAAUGCCUUGUCCCUUCUUGCUACGCAUUUAUGUGGGCACGGGUGGGAGCCACACACAUCGGGACUACGCUUUCCUGCCCCUUGCCAUGUUCCAUCACGAGCUCGAGAGAGGUGGGGUUCCUGCCAGGGCUUGCAUCUUCCAGGGGUAGGCCGCCGCCGUUGGCGAGAAGGGCCCUAACCACGUUCUCGCCCACGGCAUCCAGGGGCCCAAAAAUGCCUAUUUUUUUAGCGAAAAGGGGUAUUUGGCGAGAUUCGGGGGCCGUACGCAGCCCCACAAGGCGAGAAUGCACCACGGGAAACGCCCAAUCUUUCUCGCCUAAGGGCCUACAUUUGGGGCAAUUUUUCCCCGAAGAUGCAAUCCCUGGUUCCGGGCUUCCUUCCUGCUCCAGGUGGGUGUCAGCCAUGGCUUCGGCGCCUCGUGCUAGCGGCAUGCUUGAUGAUACUUGUGAUACUUCGUAACUCCUUCUGAUGCUGCCCUGAUACAUGGCUUGAUGGCCGGUUGGGCCAGGACAGUUCAAGGUCAGGUGCUGAGGACAGGGCUGGCAGGGCUGGCUUCCUGUGAGCGGCACAGACCUCUUGGCGCUGUGACCUGGCCACCUGCCAUGCCGCGCGUUGGGGCCACUGCACGAUCCUGAUGCUUGAGGGAGCCAGGCUGCACCGGUUACACUUGCCGCUGAGGGCGUUGGCAGGCUGCGCGUCCAGCGGCGGGUGGCGGCGGCAUCGAAGGGAUCUCGUGCGACACCGGAAUACCGUAGCCCAUGCGAGCACGUGCGGGCAAAGCGGCGAGGAGGCCCGAGCUGCAUACAUACGGUACUGCGUUGCAGUACACAGCAUCGUGCGGGUCUACUGGACCGUGGUGAAACCCCGGCCUGUGUCACGUAGCACACCACCAUCACUUCAUCCAAUCCGACUGCCACGGGCGCCACCGCGCCAGGCCGUCGGCACCGCCGUACACCGCACACACGCCACAAUGUGCUGUCCUGCCAGGCGCAGCAGGCAGCAGCCCCCGCUGCAAGACGAACGCUGGUUCGUCGCGUAACGAUCUAAUAAUGGUUACAACGUCAGAUCAGUCAUCAGUAGUCCCCGUCACGUCGCCAGGAAGUGCCGUCCUCAACCCCUCUCCCUCAAAACGCCAGCUUCUGCUGGGCCCGCCGGGCCGCCCGCGCCGCCGCCCGCCCGCCGCCACCAUCCUCGCUCGCACGUCCCGCGCCACCCGCCGCCGGCUCGUCUUCGCCAAUCUCCUCGAGCCCAUCGUCCUCCGUGGGCCGCCGCCCGCCCGCGCCCGGCCCUGCACCCGCACCGCCCGCGGGGUCGCCGGCGGCUCCGGACUGUGAGGCGGCUCGCCGUGAGGCUGCGCGCGCCAGCGCGGCCGUGGUGCCACCGGAGGUGGAGGGGGCGCGAGAGAGCGGCCGGGAGCCCGCGUCUGCGCCUCCGGCGCUCGUGUCCGCGCCUCCUACUGACGGCGUCCUGGGUUGCGGGUGGUUACAUGUGCGGACAAGUAGCGCCAACGUGACGUGCUAAUUCACAAAGCAGAAGCCUUAGGGGUGUAAUAGGCGGCAGACCGCGAGCCGAGGCCUUGCUGCGCGCUGCUGGCCCCGACAGCACACGGACUGACACACGGCACCCUAACCCCCGGUCCUCACCCCUCUUGAGACGACGCCGUGGGCGCCUCCUUGGCGGCCUUGCGCCGAGCGAGGCGGUCCGCGUAGCGGUCGCGGGGGGCUGCGGGCGGGAGGAGGGGCGGGAAAGGGUGUUCAGGCCGGGGCCUAGGCGGUGUAAUUUUCCGGCUCUGCUAGCAAUGUGUUUUACCCGACACCCGACAAGCAUCUCAGCGCACUGCUCCGGCGGCCCAGCGAAUGUGCCUCUGGACGUCGGCAGUUCCAUGUUUCAUACAAACGUUUGCAUGAAUGGUUAAACCCCCCACCCCUGCACACACGUGUGGCGCCGCCGGCGCGGCUGCCGAAGGACGCCUCUGAGCGCAGGUCGUCCUGCGGGCGGGCAAGUGAGCGGCUCCAGGAAUUGGGGACAGGGACUUGACUCCCCUGAUUUCCAUUGAGCUCAAAGCCGAGACUGAGACUGUGGAGGGGGAAGGUCAGCUGCAGGGGCCGCUUCACUCGCGGAUCUGGCCAUGGCAGGACAGGCGGGCUGCAAUAGCCAAGACCUUACCCCGCGCGGGGACGGCGACGGCUGCGCGGCGGCGAAGCCGCGGAAGGAGCCCCGCCCGCCGCCCGCCUUGUCGAACAUGCUGGUCCUGUGGGGGCGCGAGCACAAACACAUGCAAACACCCAUCGCGUGGCCUGGUGCGCUUGACUGUGAAUGUGCCGUGCUGACAAUGCAACUGGGGUGCGGCAAAUGUCCCUGCAUGAUCCUUUUUCAAUCCCAAUCUCGCGUGUUGACAUGCGUCGCGUGUUCCGCAUACUUUGCAACCCGGCCAAAUGUCCGGUAGCAACCCCCUCCUGCGCCAACACGCAAAAAGGCCAUCCAACGUUCCGCCCGUUGCGCCUCCUGCUCCCGCGCGCACCUGAAGCCCCUGCUCCCUUUUCCCCCGCCCCCGCCCCGUCCCCCGCCCCCACCCAACCCAUACUGCCCGAACUGGACCACCCGAAACCCGACUCAACAGGCCGGCCCUCCCCAGAACCGGCAUUGGCGACCCAGCGCCCUGCUCAUGCCCGCCCUCACCUGCUUGACUCCGAGGGCAGGGGACUGGGCGUGCCGCCAGCCUGCCGCUUGGUGUCGAUGGCGGCACGUGCCGCGGAGAAGCGCUCCUCCCGCCCCGCCCGCACCAGCUUCUGGCCCUCUGUCAUCGUCUCCUGGGCGCGCCGGUGCUCCUGCGCGUGUGUGUUCACGUGAGCGCGUGGAAUGGAAUGAAACGAGAGCCAGUGCGAGUGAUCGGUAGCUGCAUGUGUAGACUGGGUGCCAGGUGCCCGGUGCAGUACUUGUGUUUCACACGCGCCCUCCCUCCCUCCCUCCCUCCCUCCCCGCCUCUCCCCCUGCCCGCUGCUGCCCCUCCCUCCAUCCCUCCCCGCUGCUGCUGCUCCCGCCCACCUCCAACGCUGCCGCCUUGUUUGCAAGCUGUGUGGACUGUCGCAGGAUGUUGGUGGUGAGACGCUCCAGGGCCGCGGCCAGGCUCUCGCCGCCC